rnacentral:rRNA from 1 species
UACGUAGGUGGCAAGCGUUGUCCGGAUUUACUGGGCGUAAAGAGCGCGCAGGCGGUCGUUCAAGUCGAGUGUGAAAGCCCCCGGCUCAACUGGGGAGGGUCACUCGAUACUGAUCGACUUGAAGGCAGGAGAGGGAAGCGGAAUUCCCGGUGUAGUGGUGAAAUGCGUAGAUAUCGGGAGGAACACCAGUGGCGAAGGCGGCGAUCUGGGAAGAUACUGACGCUGAGGUGCGAAAGCGUGGGGAGCAAACAGG